rnacentral:rRNA from 1 species
UGCCAGCAUCCGCUGUACUACUGAUGGUGCAAUCGUUAAUCGGAAUUACUGGGCGUAAAGCGUGCGUAGGCGGUUUAUUAAGUCAGAUGUGAAAGCCCCGGGCUUAACCUGGGAACUGCAUUUGAAACUGGUCAACUAGAGUAUGGUAGAGGAAAGUGGAAUUUCUGGUGUAGCGGUGAAAUGCGUAGAUAUCAGAAGGAACAUCAAUGGCGAAGGCAGCUUUCUGGACCAAUACUGACGCUGAGGUACGAAAGCGUGGGUAGCAAACAGGAUUAGAUA